rnacentral:sRNA from 1 species
UUGAGCUUUGUCUGCGGGAUCCCGUGUGUAGGUCCCAUGCGUGGCCAUCUCAGCCUGGACCUGCUGGGCUUCCCGUGGCCAUGGCUGUCGUACCGGAUGGUGCAGGUCUGGGGUGAGGUCGCCAGGCACUCGGUGAGUUGAAUGUGCGGUGUCUGGAUGGUGCAGGUCCGGGUGAGGUCGCCAGGCCCUUGGUGAGCUGGAUGUGCGGUGUCCGGAUGGUGCAGGUCCGGGGUGAGGUCACCAGGCCCUCGGUGAUCUGGAUGUGGGGUGUCCUUCUCAUUUCAGGGGUUGGCUGUGUUCCGGCCGCAGAGCACCGUCUGCGUGAGGAGAUCCUGGCCAAGUUCCUGCACUGGCUGAUGAGCGUGUACGUCGUCGAGCUGCUCAGGUCUUUCUUUUAUGUCACGGAGACCACGUUUCAGAAGAACAGGCUCUUUUUCUACCGGAAGAGUGUCUGGAGCAAGUUGCAAAGCAUUGGAAUCAGACAGCACUUGAAGAGGGUGCAGCUGCGGGAGCUGUCAGAAACAGAGGUCAGGCAGCAUCGGGAAGCCAGGCCCGCCCUGCUGACGUCCAGACUCCGCUUCAUCCCCAAGCCUGACGGGCUCCGGCCAAUUGUGAACAUGGACUACGUCGUGGGAGCCAGAACAUUCCGCAGAGAAAAGAGGGCCGAGCCGUCUCACCUCGAGGGUGAAGGCACUGUUCAGCGUGCUCAACUACGAGCGGGCGCCGGCGCCCCAGCCUCCUGGGCGCCUCUGUGCUGGGCCUGGACGAUAUCCACAGGGCCUGGCGCACCUUUGUGCUGCGUGUGCGGCCCAGGACCCGCCACCUGAGCUGUACUUUGUCAAGGUUGAUGUGACAGGCGCGUACGACACCAUCCCCCAGGACAGGCUCACGGAGGUCAUCGCCAGCAUCAUCAAACCCCAGAACACGUACUGCGUGCGUCGGUAUGCUGUGGUCCAGAAGGCCGCCCAUGGGCACGUCCGCAAGGCCUUCAAGAGCCAUGUCCUACGUCCAGUGCCAGGGGAUCCCGCAGGGCUCCAUCCUGUCCACACUGCUCUGCAGCCUGUGCUACGGCGACAUGGAGAACAAGCUGUUCGCGGGGAUUCGGCGGGACGGGCUGCUCCUGCGUUUGGUGGAUGAUUUCUUGUUGGUGACACCUCACCUCACCCACGCGAAAGCCUUCCUCAGCUACGCCCGGACCUCCAUCAGAGCCAGUAUUACCUUCAACCGCGGCUUCAAGCCUGGGAGGAACAUGCGUCGCAAACUCUUUGGGGUCUUGCGGCUGAAGUGUCACAGCCUGUUUCUGGAUUUGCAGGUGAACAGCCUCCAGACGGUGUGCACCAACAUCUACAAGAUCCUCCUGCUGCAGGCAUACAGGUUCCACGCAUGUGUGCUGCAGCUCCCAUUUCAUCAGCAAGUUUGGAAGAACCCCACAUUUUUCCUGCGCGUCAUCUCUGACACGGCCUGCCUCUGCUACUCCAUCCUGAAAGCCAAGAACGCAGGGAUGUCACUGGGGGCCAAGGGCGCCGCCGGGCCUCUGCCCUCCGAGGCCGUGCAGUGGCUGUGCCACCAAGCCUUCCUGCUCAAGCUGACUAGACACCGCGUCACCUACGUGCCACUCCUGGGGUCACUCAGGACAGCCCAGACGCAGCUGAGUCGGAAGCUCCCAGGGACGACGCUGGCUGCCCUGGAGGCUGCAGCCAACCCGGCACUGCCCUCAGACUUCAAGACCAUCCUGGACUGAUGGCCACCCGCCCACAGCCGGGCCGAGAGUGGACACCAGCAGCCCUGUCACCCUGGGCUGUAUGUCCCAGGGAGGGAGGGGCGGCCCACACCCGGGCCCGCACCGCUGGGAGUCUGAGGCCUGAGUGUCUGGCCGAGGCCUGCAUGUCCUGCUGAAGGCUGAGUGUCCAGCUGAGGCCUGAGCGAGUGUCCAGCCAAGGUCUGAGUGUCUGGCUAAGGCCUGAGUGAGCGUCCAGCUGAGGUCUGAGUGUCCAGCACACCUGCUGUCCUCACUUCCCCACAGGCUGUCGCUCGGCUUCACCACAGGGCCAGCUUUUCCUCGCCAGGUGCCCGGCUUCCACUCCCUAUACGGGAAUAGUCCCUCCCCAGACUUGCCAUUGUCCACCCCUUGCCCUGCCCUCCUCUUCCCUCCACCCCCACCAUCCAGCUGGAGACCCUGAGAAGGACCCUGGGAGCUCUGGGAAUUUGGAGUGACCAAAGGUGUGCCCUGUACACAGGCGAGGACCCUGUACCUGGACAGGGGGUCCCUGUGGGUCACACUGGGGGACUGUGGGAGUAAAACACUGAAUAUAUGAGUUUUUCAGUUUUGAAAAAUGUCUCCUGUUUGAAUCCUAAU